GCGAAAGGCUCAGUAGCUGCUGAUGGGCCUCCUUUGUCCGGUUGCUGUGGGUCCGCCACGAUCCGUCUUCCGAUAGGGCGGAAGCUUCACUGUCCAUACCCUCGUGCUUUUUACCCCUAAGUCCUUCAGCAAAACUGUGCCCUAAAACUAACCAUUUUCCCACGUGGGUAGUCUGCUUCCAGAACUACCACUACCCGCUCUUCCCCAAGCCCCAAGUGACCAAACCCAAACAAAACAGGCAAGCAGCCCCACCAGGCCAGAGCAAGGCUAAAUACCCGGGCAACUUUGAUACUUCUGAGGAUUUAAGAGUUGACAGGGUCAGAAGGCAAAAAACAAGUCCUUCAAAGAACUUCUCCAGCCUUGGAAAUCAGCUUCUCUGAAUGCAGGAUCUUUCACCUGUUGCCCCAUGAAAUACCCAAGAUUACGUCUCAUUUCAAAAAAAGGUAAUACUUUAAAAUGGAGCAGUCUCAGCUGGACAGUGGUUGUGGUGUGUGCAUUUAAGCACAGCACUUGGGAACAGAGGCAGGCAGAUCUCUGAGUUUGAGGCCAGCCUUGUCUGCAAAGAGAUUUUCGUGACAGCCAGGGUGACACAGAGAGAAGACCCUGGAACUGUGGGGGGUUUCAACCCCAUUUCCCUAAGUCCAAGCUUGGGAAACCAUCCCCCCCACACCCCCACCAGGAUCAGUGUUUUUAAUAGAAGAGCCGUACUAGAACCUGAGGGCAUUAGAAUGUCAGAUCCAACUUAUUCCUGAUGAAAUAUCUUCCUCAUGGUGCAAACAACCCCCUUAGGACCCUGGGAAAGCAGAAUUGCAGAUUAUAUGGUACAGACAGGUACUCAAUAAACAGGUUGAAGGAAUGAAUGUAUAAAUGAAGUUGAGAAAAGUAUUCGUUAUUUUUCUGUUGCUGUGAUAAA
rnacentral:lncRNA from 1 species